rnacentral:lncRNA from 1 species
UUUUUUUUUUUUUUGAGGUGGAGUCUCGCUCUGUCGCCCAGGCUGGAGUGCAGUGGUGCAAUCUUGGCUCACUGCAAGCUCUGCCUCCCAGGUUCACGCCAUUCUCCUGCCUCAGCCUCCCAAGUAACUGGGACUACAGGCAUCCGCCACCACGCCCAGCUAAUUUUUUGUAUUUUUAGUGGAGACGGGGUUUCACAGUGUUAGCCAGGAUGGUCUCAAUCUCCCGACCUUGUGAUCUGCCCGCCUCGGCCUCCCAAAGUGCUGGGAUCACAAGUGUGAGCCACCAAGCUGGACCCUCUUUUUUUUUUUUUGAGACAGAGUUUCGCUCUUGCUGCCCAGGCUGGAGUGCAACAGCAUGAUCUCGGUUCACGGCAACCUCCACCUCCCGGGUUCAAGCGAUUCUCCUGCCUUAGCUUCCCGAGUAGCUGGGAUUACAGGCAUGUACCAUCACACCCAGCUAAUUUUGUAUGUUUAGUAGAGAUGAGGCUUCUCCAUGUUGGUCAGGCUGGUCUUGAACUCCAGACCUCAGGUGAUCCACCCGCCUCAGCCUCCCAAAGUGCUGGGAUUACAGGCAUGAGCCACUGCGCCCCACCUCCAGCUUUUUUCUUUUCUUUUCUUUUCUUUUCUUUUCUUUUCUUUCUUUCUUUUCUUUUCUUUUUUCUUUUUUUUUUUGAGAUGGACUCUCACUCUGUCGCCCAGGCUGGAGUGCGGUGUUGUGAUCUCAGCUCACUGCAACCUCUACCUCGCGGGUUCAAGUGAUUCUCCUGCCUUCCAAGUAGCUGGGAUUACAAGCACGCGCUGCCACGCCCAGCUAAUUUUUGUAUUUUUAGUAGAGACCAGGUUUCACCAUGUUGGUCAGGCUGGUCUUGAACUCCUGACCUCAACUGAUCUGCCCGUCUUGGCUUCCCAAAGUGCUGGGAUUACAGGUGUGAGCCACCGCACCUGGCUGGCUUUUUUUCUUUUUAAAAAUUAUUUCUUUGGAAUAAAUGAAAAUUAUUUCUCCUCUCUAAGCCUCAGUCUAUCUGCAAAUCGUGACUACUCUGUAGGAUUAUAGUGAGAAUGAGGUGAGGUACCCUAUAUAAAAGGAGCAGGCAAAGAUUGGCAUUUAAUGAGUCUCCAUCAGUGCGGGGUUCCUGCCUUCCUUUUGGGACCCUUGAGAGCAGCUUCUGUAUUUGCUCAUCAUUUUAGUCAACACGAUAGUUCAGGGCUGGGUGGAUGCUUGACCACGUAUGCAGAUGGCUCAGAGUUGGGAGAGUAAAUGAAUACAGCAGAUACAAAAUAGUGUCUGCAGGGUCUUCACUUGGCCAGGACAGGCAGAAUGACUGUUUUCUAGAGCUACUGUAAAGUCCUACAUUUGGGUUUUGAAAAUCAGUGGCACCGCUGGGCAAGGUGGCUCACCCCUGUAAUCCCAACAUUUUGGGAGGCCAAGGCAGGAGAAUCACUUGAGGCCAAGAGUUUGAGACCAGCCUGGCCAACAUGGUGAAACCCCAUCUCUACUAAAAAUACAAAAAUUAGCUAGGUAUGGUGGUGCACACCUGUAGUCCCAGCUACUGGGAAGGCUGAGGCAGGAGGAUUGCUUGAACCUGGGAGGUGGAGGUUGCAGUGAGCUGAGAUGGUGCCACCGCACUCCAGCCUGG